GGCACGCCUAACACAUGCAAGUCGAACGAAGUAGCAAUACUUAGUGGCAGACGGGUGAGUAACAUGUAGGUAUCUGCCCUUUGGCCUGGAAUAACACGAGGAAACUUGUGCUAAUACCGGAUAAGUCUUUACGGAGAAAGCUUUAUGCACCAUUGGAUGAGCCUGCACUUGAUUAGUUUGUUGGUAGGGUAAUGGCCUACCAAGACUGUGAUCAAUAGCUGAUUUGAGAGGAUGAUCAGCCACAUUGGGACUGAGACACGGCCCAAACUCCUACGGGAGGCAGCAGUGGGGAAUCUUGCACAAUGGAGGAAACUCUGAUGCAGCGAUGCCGCGUGAGUGAAGAAGGCCCUUGGGUUGUAAAGCUCUUUCGUCGGGGAAGAAAAUGACUGUACCCGAAUAAGAAGGUCCGGCUAACUUCGUGCCAGCAGCCGCGGUAAUACGAAGGGACCUAGCGUAGUUCGGAAUUACUGGGCUUAAAGAGUUCGUAGGUGGUUGAAAAAGUUGGUGGUGAAAUCCCAGAGCUUAACUCUGGAACUGCCAUCAAAACUUUUCAGCUAGAGUUUGAUAGAGGAAAGCAGAAUUUCUAGUGUAGAGGUGAAAUUCGUAGAUAUUAGAAAGAAUACCAAUUGCGAAGGCAGCUUUCUGGAUCAUUACUGACACUGAGGAACGAAAGCAUGGGUAGCGAAGAGGAUUAGAUACCCUCGUAGUCCAUGCCGUAAACGAUGUGUGUUAGACGUUGGAAAUUUAUUUUCAGUGUCGCAGCGAAAGCGAUAAACACACCGCCUGGGG
rnacentral:rRNA from 1 species